rnacentral:tRNA from 1 species
UGCGGGUUUGUGUAAUGGUAGCACUACUGACUCUGGCUCAGUCUGUUAGGGUUCGAAUCCUUAACCCGCAG